ACUAAACCUAACCCUAGUUCCUUUUCUCUAUAGCAGUCACCCUCUCUCGUUCAUCUAUCUCACAUGGCCAUUUUUAGCAAACUCCAAAGCUUUUCAAACCUAAGUGAGGGAUGCUCUACCAUUUUUGUGCAAACCUUGGUAACUCCAUAACGUCUCUCCAACGCUUUCCUCUCUCAUCUCUAUCACAAGAUUUGGUCAAGAAUAAGAGGCCAAAGAACUUUUGAAUAAAUCAGAUUCUUCUACACUUUUCAGAGAUUUGACUCUCAAACGGCUACAAUUCAGAGACUGAAGCCGAACCCGUGACCCCCUUUUCUUUGAUUUUCAAAUCUCGCUCAGAAAUUCGAACCCUAUAUUGAUUUCGCCUAUAAAUACUCCUAAAACCUUCAGCCUAAACCAAGCUUGAGCACAGGUAAAAACCAGGCUUGAAUCACCAAAAAAAAAAAAUCGUGCUUCAAUUUACAUUCAAGUUCUAAAUUUCAGUUUAGUAGUGAACAGUAGUGGAUCUGAGACCUCAAAGCCUACAGUUCACUGCCCCAUAAAAGUUUCACAUGAACACCGGAGCGGAAGUGUCCCACUUUGAGACUCGACGACGCUGCAGCACUAUACCUGCAUGGACUCAGCACACUUUUUACGUUCUCACUGCUGAUGUAGUGAUAAAACAACAAAAUUAUCCCGCGUGGGAUGUUGGCGGAGAAGCCAGUCAAUUGUCCUUUUGAUUUCUGCGUUAAUCACAAUGUUGUUUCUUAAUAUGUUAGAAUCUUAAUUGUUAUGUGAUACUAUAUCAAUUCAGUGAGGUGUUUACGUAUGGAUAAUAAUAGAGGUACUCAUCAUAUCACAUAGAACAUAACAUCUAGACAUAAGGAUAUUAAGAAUUUGGUUAGCUUGAUUCAGGUUUGAGGUAUUAGAAUUGAACUGUAAGUGUGCUUAAAAUAUUGACUGUCGUCCUUUUCUUUAAACAACAACAUUGGUUUUUCAACUA